UAGGUAUCCUUCAUCUCCCUUGAUGGCCUUUGAAUCACUAUCCUUUCCUCUAAGCCCACUUCAAUUGUUAUCCCCUUCUUUCCAGCUGUUUUGCAACCUUUGGCUGUGAAAGCCUCAUUCACACUUUGUUCCCCUCAUUUGAUGCAUUGAAUAUUUUGCUUCCUAUUACUGUUACUUAUGAUAUUAUAAACUACUUGAGAAGAGAGGCAAUCCCUCUUCAUUUUUUAUUUCCUAAUAAUUAACAUUUACUCAGUGCUUACUAUGUGCUAGGCACUAAGCAAAGUAUUUUAUGUGGAUUAUUUUAUGAUCACAUAACUACAUUAUUCUUAUCCUCAUUUUACAGACGAGAAAACUGAAGCUCAAAGUGCUGAAGGAAUUUGCCCAGAAUGACAUAAUGAGUGUGCAGUGGAGCUCAAGUCACGUCGAGGCUGCCUGAGUGCAGAGCUUGCCAUCUACACUUCGCUACCUCCCUCCUCGUGUGGCAUCUCACGCAUAUGUUUUUCAGGGUUAUUCCUUCCGGUUUGUGAGUUCUAAAAGCAGAAUUUGUGACAGUGGAAAGUUCUCAGUGGAGCUGGGCAUUUCCCUGGAGCCUCUUCCUUACAUCAGCUGCUGCAGGAUGAGGUCACCCAUCUGUCUCCUAACUCCGAAAAGAUUUGUGGCAAAUUUCUACACCAGAUUGCAUUUCUUCUCUACUUUUAACAUUGAAAGCUCCUCUUUCUUCAUUGAACUUCCUUCAAACAUAACGGAAAGACUUGUGUUGCUUCUGGUCUAUGCCAGAGAGAUCUGUUGAAAUAUCCAGACUUCGUGCUUUGAUUUGGAGUCCAAAUAUUUGGUGUGGAGAGAUAAGCUUUAUGUUUAGAAUUAAAUUCACCUUCUGCCCUGGCUAUGCCAGAUGCCACUUUAGACCUUGACCCUUAACUUACUGGGUCUCUCUUUGUGUGUUUUUAUUCCAGUGCCUCGACUUAUUUUUAACUCCCCGAGGGAGCACUGCCAAAGCGUCUGGCUCAGCACUGCUGAGAGCCUGAUCAGUAGAGGAGGGCAGUGGGAAGGAGCGUGAAGAAUCCACACGCUGAAAAUGAGCCCUCGGACAACAGACCUCACUUAAUGCUGGUCUACAAAUGAAUUAUAAAUGUACUCUGAUAUCAAAUGUACUGGAAAAGCUUACCAUUUAAAGAAGUUCAAUGAGAUAUCUUUUGUGCAGUAGUGAGUUUUACAAAUAGGUUUUGCUUUGGACAAGCAAAAUCUAGCACCAUCAUUUAACUUUUUAACAAUUUGUAUUUGUACCUAUUGGGUUUUCUUAAAGAAAGUCUCACCUCUAUUUACUUAGAGGUGAAAGAAGGAAAACUUCAGCACAGAGAUGUAAAGUCUUAAAUUUUUAUGCCUUAAUUUGGCUCCUGAUUAGAAUUAUAUCUGUAUUUGUUCAGUUACGUGAGCUAUCUUACCUCUGGAAAGAAUCUUUGAAAAAUGACAGUUGUAUAUGAGUACUCUUAGAAUGUGAUAGGAUUUGGGGUACAUUCUCCCAAAGUAACUGCACUGCCCUUCUUUUCCUGCUCAGACAACUGGUUGUGGCAUGAAGCUGAAGUGGGGGCCUGGGGGCUCUAGUCUGGCCCAGUAAAGGUAUGGUAUCCCCUCUUGAGAAGACCCCAGGAAAUUAGUUCUUUCCAGUCUGUGUCAUGAGCUAGUCAGCAGUGAUUUUGAAAUAGACCUAAACUCUAGGGUACCUCUCCCUGGCCUGACCUCUAGGGGUGCAUGAGACAAGCUAGCCGAGUGGUUAAGGGCAGACCCUGGAGUAAGAGUGCCUGGCCACCUGGAUUAGGCUGCAGAGCACCGGUGAGGACAGUGCAGCUGCUUCCCCGGGCAGGAACACUUCCGUCCUGGCU
rnacentral:lncRNA from 1 species